ensembl:lncRNA
AUUCUUUGGAACUCUGCAUUCAAAUGGAUAUAUCUUUCCUUUUAUUCCUUUGCCUUUUGCUUCUUUCCUCAGCUAUUUGUGAGGCCUUCUCAGACAACCAUUUUGUCCUUUUGCAUUUCUUUUUCUUGGGGAUGGUCUUGAUCAUGGCCUUCUGUACAAUGUCAUGAACCUCUGUCCAUAGUUCUUCAGGCACUCUGUCUAUCAGAUCUAAUCCCUUGAAUCUAUUUGUCACUUCCGUUGCAUAAUCAUAAGGGAUAUGAUUUAGGUCAUACCUGAAUCGUCUAGUUGUUUUCCCUACUUUCUUUGAUAUAAGUCUGAAUUUUGCAAUAAGGAGUUCAUGAUCUGAGCCACAGUCGGCUCCUGGUCUUGUUUUUGCUGACUGUACAGAGCGUCUCCAUCUUUGGCUGCAAAGAAUAUAAUCAAUCUGAUUUCAGUAUUGGCCAUCUGGUGAUGUCCAUGUGAAGAGUCAUCUCUUGUGUUGUUGGAACAGGGUAUUUUCUAUGACCAGUGCGUUCUCUUGGCAAAACUCUGUUAGCCUUUGCCCUGGUUCAUUUUGUACUCCAAGGCCAAACUUGCCUGUUACUCCAGGUAUCUCUUGACUUUCUACUUUUGCAUUCCAGUCCCCCAUGAUGAAAAAGACAUCUUUUCUUGGUGUUAGUUCUAGAAGGUCUUAUAUGUCUUCAUAGAACUGUUCAACUUCAGCUUCUUCAGCAUUAGUGGUUGGAGCAUAGACUUGGAUUACUGUGAUACUGAAUGGUUUGCCUUGGAAACGAACAGAGAUCAUUCUGUCAUUUUUGAGAUUGCACCCAAGUACUGCAUUUAGGACUCUUUUGUUGACUGUGAGGGCUAUUGCAUUUCUUCUGAGGGAUUCUUGCCCACAAUAGUAGAUGUAAUGGUCAUUGAAUUAAAUUUUCCCAUUUAGUCCAUUUUAGUUCACUGAUACCUAAAAUGUCAAUGUUCACUUUUGACAUCUCCUGUUUGACCACUUCUAAUUUACCUUGAUUCAUGGACCUAACCGUCCAGGUUCCUAUGCAAUGUUGUUCUUUACAACAUCAGACUUUACUUCCAUCACCAGUCACAUCCACAUGGGUGUUGUUUUCCCUUUGGCUCAGCCUCUUACAUUCCUUCUGGAGCUAUUUCCCCACUCUUCUCCCGUAGCAUAUUGGGCACCUACUGACCUGGGGAGUUCAUCUUUCAGUAUCCUAUCUUUUUGCCUUUUCAUACUGUUCAUGGGGUUCUCAAGGCAAGAAUACUGAAGUGAUUUGCCAUUCCCUUCUCCAACGGACCAUGUUUUGUCAGAACUCUCCACCAUGACCCCCGUCUUGGGUGGCCCUACAUGGCAUGGCUCAUAGUUUCACUGAGUUAGACAAGGCUGUGGUCCCUGUGAUCAGUUUGGUUAGUUAUCUAUGAUCGUGAUAAGAGCUUGUGGAAGCUUCCUGAUGGGAGGGACUGGCUGUAGGGGAAUCUGGGUCUUGCUCUGAUGGGUGGGCCCAUGCUCAGUAAAUCUUUAAUCCAAUUUUCUGUUGACAAGUGGGGCUGUGUUCCCUCCUCAGGGUGAGGCUGUGGCCCCAGGCCAAACUAUGGUAGGGGUAAUGGCGACCCCCUUCAGAAGGGCUUAUGCUAGCACACCCUGCAGCUCGCAGGACUGUCGUAUUCCAUGCCCCUGGUCACUGCUGACCCACGCCUCCACUGGAGACGCCUGGACACUCACUGGCAAGUCUGGGUCAGUCUCUUGUGAGGUCACUGUUUCUUUCUCCAGGGUCCUGAUGCACACAGGUUUUGACUGUGCCCUCCAAGAGUCUGUUUCCCCAGUCCUGUAGAAGUUCUCUAAUCAAAUCCCACUGGCUCCAAACUCAAAUUCCCUGGGGGUUCUCCGUCCCUUUGCCAGAUCCCCAAGUUGGGAAAUCUGUUGUGGGCCCUAGAACUUUUGCAACAGUGUGAGAACUUCUUUGAUAUAAUUGUUCUCCAGUUUAUGGGUCGUCUGCUCUAUGCUCUAAUGGUGACCUCCUCCAAGAGGACUCAUGCCACAUGCGGCGCCUCCCAGGACUGCUGCAGCCAGAGCCCCAUCCCCGUGCAGCCACUGCUGACCUGUGUCUCCGCAGGUCAAAGGCAGGUCUGGCUCAGUCUCUGUGGGGUCUCUGGGUCCAGGUGCACACCAGGUUUUGUUUGAGCCCUUUGAGUGUCUCUGGCAGGUAUGGGGUUUGAUUCUAAAUGCAAUUGCACCCCUCCUACCAUCUUGCUGAGGCUUCUCCUUUGCCCUUGGAUGUGGGGUAUUUUUUUUGGUGGGAUCCAACAUUUUCCUGUCAAUGGUUGUUCAGCAACGUGUUGCAACUUGGAGUGCUCGCAGGAGAAGAUGAGCACCCGUCCUUCUACUCUGCCAUCUUUUCUACUCCGUAAUGAUACGCAGAUGAUACCACCCUAAUGGUAGAAAGUGAAGAGGAACUAAAGAGCCUCUUGAUGAAGGUGAAAGAGGAGAGUGAGAAAACAGGAAUAAAAUUCAAAAUUCAAAAAACUAAGAUCAUGGUAUCUGGUCCAAUCACUUUAUGGCUAAGAGAUGGGGAAGAAAUGGAAACAGGCUCCAAAAUCACUGCAAUGGUGACUGCAGCCAUGAAAUGAAACACCUUACUCAGAACUCCAAAAGAUGAACCACAGACUGGGAGAAACUAUUUCCAAAACACAUCAUAGAAAGGAUCUGUGCUCAAAUGAUACCAAACAGUUCCUUAAAGCUUGAUAAAGAUUGAAAUACAUACCUGGCCAAAGAAUAUAAACAGAUAUGUACGUAGAAAUUUAUAUCAAUAUAUAGAGAAUUGUUUAUAUCUCUCUGUAGAUAGAUG